AUCUCUAGAAUUUGGUGACCUAAUAAUGAGCAGGGUGAAGGAGAGAAAGGACACAAGAAUGCCAACAAGAUUCGGGGGUUGGCAACUGGAUGAAUAGUGGCUCCUCUGGGAGAAGGAGGAUGGGAAGUGAAGCUGGCUCACUUCCAGGGCUCCCUCUCCCAGCGUCCAGAAUCCCAGCUGAUCCAGGACUCCCUGAUUCUGCUCAUCUACCCAUUCCAUAAAGGCAUAAUAACUGAAUUCUCACAAGCGAGAUAAUGUACAUAUCAAGAAGCAAUGGAGCAGCCGGGAAGCUCAGUCAUAUGCCCUCUUACAGAGAGGAAUAUGCCACAGUAGCAGAUAAUCAGUGGAACAGAGGACAAAAGACCCAAUGAAUGAGUAGUGACUCUGCUACAGAAGGGCAUCAAAAGAGUCACACAGAGAGAGAGAGGCAGAGACACAGGCAGAGGGAGAAGCAGGCUCCAUGCACUGGGAGCCCGACGUGGGAUUCGAUCCCGGGUCUCCAGGAUCGCACCCUGGGCCAAAGGCAGGCGCCAAACCGCUGCGCCACCCAGGGAUCCCCAGAGGGGGCAUUUGAAUGAAGUCUUACAGGAUGGAAACCUUUUUGGGGCAGAAGAUAAGGAAACAUUUUAGGCCAGGAUGUCUGCAUAAACCACAGUCAGCAAUGCAAUGCAAAAAGGAAUGGAGUGUCAUUUUUACAUUUUCAUCAUUGCUGAUCAAUUCUACCACGUCAAAUUUAAUGCAAGGAAAACUUCAAACAGGAGGAAGAAGAAAGGCCUGUUACACAGAUCAAAAGAUUGGAAAGUAUCAUUUAUCUGAAAAUAAAAUUAUUUUUGACUCUGGGAAGUGAGUAUAUUUAAAACCAGCUGUGUUAUAUGAGGGAAAUUCAGAAAACCAGGAGCAUGUCCAGGAAAGACACAUGCUCAGUCCUGAGAAGACCUUAAGCUUUCAGCUCAAGCUGAUCUCUAGGCUCAGAGCAAGCCCAGCUACAUGGUGAAGGAAUGCCCCAGCACUGAGCACACCUGCAAACACUG